CAGCCGCCACGGUAAUACGUAGGUGGCAAGCGUUGUCCGGAUUUAUUGGGCGUAAAGCGUGCGUAGGUGGUGGUUUAAGUCCGUUGUGAAAGCCCUGGGCUCAACCUGGGAAUUGCAGUGGAUACUGGGUCACUAGAGUGUGGUAGAGGAUAGUGGAAUUUCCGGUGUAGCAGUGAAAUGCGUAGAGAUCGGAAGGAACAUCUGUGGCGAAGGCGACUAUCUGGGCCAACACUGACACUGAGGCACGAAAGCGUGGGGAGCAAACAGGAUUAGAUACCCCUGUAGUCCCUGUCUCUUAUAC
rnacentral:rRNA from 1 species